GGAUGGCGGAAUCGGUAGACGCGUCGGACUUAAAAUCCGAUAAACCGAAAGGUUUGUGCGGGUUCAAUUCCCGCUCC
rnacentral:tRNA from 2 species